rnacentral:rRNA from 1 species
GGAUUAGGCAUGCAAGUCGUACGUGAUCCUCGCUUCGGUGAGGUGAAAGUGGCGAACGGGUGAGUAAUGCAUAGCUAACCUACCCUUGGCACGGGGAUAACCAGGAGAAAUCUUGGCUAAUACCGGAUAGGCUCGUGGGAUUGCAUGGUCCUGCGAGUAAAGAAGGCCUCUUAGCAAUGCUUUCGGCCGAGGACGGGACUAUGUCCUAUCAGCUAGUUGGUAGGGUAAUGGCCUACCAAGGCGAUGACGGGUAGCCGACCUGAGAGGGUGACCGGCCACACUGGGACUGAGACACUGCCCAGACUCCUACGGGAGGCUGCAGUCGAGAAUCUUCCGCAAUGGGGGAAACCCUGACGGAGCGACGCCGCGUGCGGGAUGAAGGCCUUCGGGUUGUAAACCGCUGUCACGCAUUAAGAAGGGUCCGGUGUUAACAGCGCUGGGCUUUGACGAAGGUGCGGAGGAAGCCACGGCUAACUNCUGUGCCAGCAGCCGCGGUAAGACAGAGGUGGCGACCGUUGUUCGGAAUCACUGGGCAUAAAGCGCGCGUAGGCGGCAUAGCAAGUCGGGUGUGAAAUCCCUCGGCCCAACCGAGGAAUUGCGCUCGAAACUGCCGUGCUUGAGGACAGGAGGGGAGCCUGGAAUUCCUGGUGGAGCGGUGAAAUGCGUUGAUAUCAGGAGGAACACCGGCGGCGAA